UACGGAGGGGGCUAGCGUUGUUCGGAAUUACUGGGCGUAAAACGCACGUAGGCGGCUUUGUAAGUUAGAGGUGAAAGCCCGGGGCUCAACUCCGGAAUUGCCUUUAAGACUGCAUCGCUCGAAUUGUGGAGAGGUAAGUGGAAUUCCGAGUGUAGAGGUGAAAUUCGUAGAUAUUCGGAAGAACACCAGUGGCGAAGGCGACUUACUGGACACAUAUUGACGCUGAGGUGCGAAAGCGUGGGGAGCAAACAGG
rnacentral:rRNA from 1 species